AUCAACUUUCGAUGGUAGGAUAGAGGCCUACCAUGGUGGUAACGGGUAACGGGGUGUUAGGGCACGACACCGGAGAGGGAGCCUGAGAAACGGCUACCACAUCCAAGGAUGGCAGCAGGCGCGCAAAUUACCCAAUCCCGACACGGGGAGGUAGUGACAAUAAAUAACAAUACGGGGUUCUUUAGGAUCUCGUAAUUGGAAUGAGUACAAUUUAAAUCUCUUAACGAGGAACAAUUGGAGGGCAAGUCUGGUGCCAGCAGCCGCGGUAAUUCCAGCUCCAAUAGCGUAUAUUAAAGUUGUUGCAGUUAAAAAGCUCGUAGUUGAAUUUCGGGGUUAGUAGGUUGGUCAUGCCUCUGGUAUGUACUGGUCUCACUGAUUCCUCCUUCCUGAUGAACCUUAAUGCCAUUAAUUUGGUGUUUUGGGGAAUUUGGACUGUUACUUUGAAAAAAUUAGAGUGUUUAAAGCAAGCUAACGCUUGAAUACAUUAGCAUGGAAUAAUGAAAUAGGACGUUCGAUCCUAUUUUGUUGGUUUCUAGGAUUGACGUAAUGAUUAAUAGGGAUAGUUGGGGGCAUUAGUAUUCAAUUGUCAGAGGCGAAAUUCUUGGAUUUAUUGAAGACUAACUACUGCGAAAGCAUUUGCCAAGGAUGUUUUCAUUAAUCAAGAACGAAAGUUAGGGGAUCGAAGACGAUCAGAUACCGUCGUAGUCUUAACCAUAAACUAUGCCGACUAGGGAUCGGAUGAUGUUAAUUUUUUAAUGACUCAUUCGGCGCCUUACGGGAAACCAAAGUGUUUGGGUUC
rnacentral:rRNA from 1 species